CCCUGUUCAGCUGCAGGCACAAUAAAAUCCAAGGUGGCUUGGAGCUACCUUUCCAACUCAGGUGCAGAGAAAGCACAAAUAGGAGCUCAGUUCACAUAUAGAACAUUUAUUACACAUAUAAGACAUUUAUUUCACUGUUUUGCAUCCCCUGUAGCCCCCACCCCACUUACAUUAAGCACUUACACAUGCUGCUGGAAGCCAGGGCAGCUGUACUCAUCUAUCAAAGCCUGUCAGCUUGAGAACAUAGGCUCUUCCCAUUAAUUAAGCAAAUGUAAUGUGAUUAGCUAAGGCUGUAAAUGUUUCACUUAGAAAGCUACAAAACACUGAGCCUCACAGCUCUCAUUUUCACACACUUGUGCAAUCUUGGAUGCUCCUCUGGGGCUGAGAGCUGUUUGAAUUAUAGGAACCUGAAGAAGAAAUUAAUUUCAAUGCUUCUUAAAAAACAAAGCAAAAAAACACCACUUCUGUCUACCUUUUAAAAUGGAUGUAACAAGAUCUGCUGGAAACUAAAAUUUUGAAAUCUGCUGUUUUUUUUCCAUACAAGAAGUUAUCAUCACGGCAGGCAAGGCAAGAGUGAGGAUGUGUGCCUGGUGAACUCCUUUCCUUCAAGACACAAAGCUUUAUGGGCACUGCAUUAAGGCUCCACAAUCGCUAUGUCAUUGUUCACAGAAAUGUCCUGAGGGACACUGAGAGGAAAAUGUUCCUUGAAAGCCCUUUACCUCCCUACCUGCAACUGGCCAGAAAGCUGCUGAAUUUCCCUGCAAUGUAAUGCUGUGGGUUUUUUUUUUUUGUUUCUUUUUUUUUUUUUUUUUGCAAAGCUUCCCUGCUCUGGGCUGGCAGCAGGGAAGGGGUGGCAGUCGGCACAUCAUCCCCCCUGUCAGGAAGAGGUUCUGCCACACCGCCGUAUGCCCUAUGCUUUCUGUGGGCUUGGUAUCUUAAAAGUACACUGCCUGCCCUGGCCUUUCCCCAGGGAGCACUUCUGACAGCCAAGGGGAAGAGGGCUGACGUUACAAUGAUCAUCUCUAGGUGAAUGUGGGACUAGAUGUCAGGUUAGGCCUGCGGUGCUUGAGACCAGGCCGGGUCUCUGUGGAGGCCUGUUUGUACAGACAGGGCCACGAACAGGGCUGGGCUCUUCUCUGGCAGCCGGCCGUCACAGCUGCUGGAAGGGACACAGCAAUGCCACGUCUCGUAGAGCUCCCUCAUGCUGGGAUCAGCAAGAAGCAGGAAGCCAAGUGUUAAAUUGCUUUUUGGCUGAAAGGGAUUGAAAGAGCUCUCCCUGUGGAGACAGUGCCUCAUACAGGCAUGUGUGAGCUGUUGAGUGGAGGAAUUCCCCAUCUCUCAGAGACUAAAAGUGGAGAAAAGGACUGCCAGGCCUACAUGCACUUGCAGAAGAGGAUGCAAUACUGGAGUUUCAUGUUUUGGGCCUUCACCUGUCUAGCCAAGAGUCCAUAGGACUGAUCAGUUACUGCAACACCUCCCAGCAAGUGGCUGCAGUUGUCUCCAGCCCACCAGCAGCCGCAGGUUGUCUUUCCUUAUGCUGUUAGACCCAAGUCCUCAAAGGUGAUUCCAGUGACCGUAAGUUACUGAAACAACUCCAGGAGCCUACAGAUCAGUACCUUUCAAGAACAAACAAGCUAUCCACCUGAUUUCUGAGGGCACAUCAGCACCGAAAGAGAUGCCAGGCAAAGUAAUGGUUUUGUGACAAGCUCUUAGGAACCUGAAUCUAGUGAAAAAUGUGUUA